rnacentral:misc_RNA from 1 species
GCUGAGGAAUCUGCUAUGUGCAACAUCCAAGCAUGAUGUGUACCUUACUCAAAAUUACUCUGUAAUGCAUUGGUCAUCAUUACUGAGCAGAGGCAAAGAAGUGCUCAAUGCGGCUAAACCAAUUGUUCCUACCCUGAAACACCCAGGGUUGUUGUCAGAGUCAGUCUCAAGAGUGCAAAUUAGCACCAUGUCUGUGAAAGAAAACUUGUUAGUUGCUGGUGGUUUUCAGGGAGAACUUAUUUGCAAGUACUUGAAUCAACCUGGAGUUGCAUUCUGUACAAAAAUAACAACAGCUGAAAAUGCCAUUACCAAUGCAGUGGACAUAUACCAUAACCAAAGUGGCUCAACGAGGAUUACGACUGCAAACAAUGAUGCUCUAGUUAGAAUUUUUGAUGCUGAAAGUUUUACUUGCCUAAAUCGUUUCUCCUUUGAUUGGUCUGUAAAUAACACC